rnacentral:rRNA from 1 species
AGAGUGAACGCUGGCGGCAGGCCUAACACAUGCAAGUCGAGCGGUAGAGAGGUGCUUGCACCUCUUGAGAGCGGCGGACGGGUGAGUAAUGCCUAGGAAUCUGCCUAGUGGUGGGGGAUAACGUUCGGAAACGGACGCUAAUACCGCAUACGUCCUACGGGAGAAAGCGGGGGACCUUCGGGCCUCGCGCCAUUAGAUGAGCCUAGGUCGGAUUAGCUAGUUGGUGAGGUAAUGGCUCACCGAAGGCGACGAUCCGUAACUGGUCCGAGAGGAUGAUCAGUCACACUGGAACUGAGACACGUCAGACU